rnacentral:rRNA from 1 species
AACGAACGCUGGCGGCAGGCCUAACACAUGCAAGUCGAACGCUCCAGCAAUGGAGAGUGGCAGACGGGUGAGUAACGCGUGGGAACCUUCCCAGUGGUACCGGAAUAGCCCAGGGAAACUUGGGGUAAUACCGUAUACGCCCUUAGGGGGAAAGAUUUAUCGCCAUUGGGAUGGGCCCCGCGUCGGAUUAGCUAGUUGGUGAGGUAAUGGAUCACCAAGGCGACGAUCCGUAGCUGGUCUGAGAGGAUGAUCAGCCACACUGGGACUGAGACACGGCCCAGACUCCUACGGGUGGCAG